rnacentral:rRNA from 1 species
UACGGGGGGAGCAAGCGUUGUUCGGAUUUACUGGGCGUAAAGGGCGCGUAGGCGGCCACGACAAGUCACUUGUGAAAUCUCCGGGCUUAACUCGGAGCGGUCAAGUGAUACUGUCGGGCUAGAGUGCAGAAGGGGCAACUGGAAUUCUCGGUGUAGCGGUGAAAUGCGUAGAUAUCGAGAGGAACACCUGCGGCGAAGGCGGGUUGCUGGGCUGACGCUGACGCUGAGGCGCGAAAGCUAGGGGAGCGAACGGG